rnacentral:rRNA from 1 species
UGUACCUACGGGGGGCAGCAGUGGGGAAUAUUGGGCAAUGGGCGCAAGCCUGACCCAGCAACGCCGCGUGAAGGAAGAAGGCUUUCGGGUUGUAAACUUCUUUUCUCAGGGACGAAGCAAGUGACGGUACCUGAGGAAUAAGCCACGGCUAACUACGUGCCAGCAGCCGCGGUAAUACGUAGGUGGCAAGCGUUAUCCGGAUUUACUGGGUGUAAAGGGCGUGUAGGCGGGGACGCAAGGCAGCUGUGAAAACCACGGGCUCAACCUGUGGCCUGCAUUUGAAACUGUGGUUCU